rnacentral:ncRNA from 3 species
GGCGGAUGUAGCCAAGUGGACCAAGGCAGU